GUAAUGAAAAAACCACCAUCAGUUAAAUUUGAUCCAAAAAUAUUGCAUCUACCAGCAUUUUCAGUGGAUAAGUUAUAAUUUCUGAAAGACCAAGAUUGGAAUGACUUUUUUGCAACAAGUGUGCUCACAGAUCGACUCCAUUGCGAAGAGCUCGAGGACCUCCUGAGCCAAGCUUAAUCUCCUUUGCUGUUUGUGCGUGGUGGCUGGUCACCAGGAGGUGGCCACCAGGCUCCUCCAUUCCCCACUGUUCCAAUUGCUAAUCCAGCAUUCGCAGAUAGCUCUAAACUGCGAUAUAAGUGACAUACCAGGUAGAAAGCACCAUAGAUCAAGUGUUAGAAGGCUCUGGGUUCCGGUUGCCUAUAAGACUCAGACAAAUGAUUAUCUUUUUCUCAUUCUCUGUUUCCUGGGGAGGGUGGGUGGAACAAGGAAAUGGCAUAGGUUUAGGAUUCAGACAGACCUGGGUGUGGAUCAAAGAUCUGCUUUCUGGGCCAAUUACUUUAAUUGCUGAGCCGCAGUUUCCUCAUCUAUAAAAUUGGGAUGGGGAUGAGAUAACCACUUCAUAGAUUUUUGGUAAUUAUUCCACUUUGAAUGAGGUAAAUAUAUGAGAUACUUUAUAUAGUGCCUGAUUCUUAGUGGGUAUUUCAUUUACAGUGGGGUUGGGGUUGUAGAAGUUGCAGUUAUUAUCAUGAAGCUUGCUUAUCUCAUGAUUGUUAGGACAAGCACAUGAAAAAUCGGAGGUGAAAGGAUUUUGUGAAUUGUGGCAGUAGUAUAAUAAUUAUUCUUCUAUGCUGGUAAAAUAUGGGUGAAACAAUAGGAGUUUAGAAAAUGCUUAAUAAUAAGGGUAAUUCUUAUUAUACAUCUUGUAAUGUUACUGUCCCAAAGUAAAAUCUGGUAAUAGAAAGUAGGAUUUAAUACUUUGAGCAUUUAAUACUUUGAGAAGGCUGAUGGUAUGCUCAUUAAAAAUGAAUCAAUGAAAUAUUUAUUUAAACACUUUUAUUUAAAACGUGUUAUAUCUUUGAAUGGGGUGCCCCCUGCUAACAUUUUCAAACAGAUAUCCCAAAUCAUUUCCAAGUACAGUUAUCCCUCUGUAUCAGCCCGGAGACUGGUUCUAGUAUCCCCUUGGAUACCAAAAUUCACACAUACUAUUUUUCCUCUGCUUUUAAUGAAGUUUGAUUGUAAAACUGUUUUAAUUUGAAUAAAAUGAUACUGAGGUAGACAA